rnacentral:rRNA from 1 species
UGGCUCAGAGUGAACGCUGGCGGCAGGCCUAAUACAUGCAAGUCGAACGGCAGCACAGCAGAGCUUGCUCUGUGGGUGGCGAGUGGCGGACGGGUGAGGAAUACAUGGGAAUCUGCCCAGUCGUGGGGGAUAACGUAGGGAAACUUACGCUAAUACCGCAUGCGCCCUUCGGGGGAAAGCCGGGGACCUUCGGGCCUGGCGCGAUUGGAUGAGCCCAUGUCGGAUUAGCUAGUUGGCGGGGUAAUGGCCCACCAAGGCGACGAUCCGUAGCUGGUCUGAGAGGAUGACCAGCCACACUGGAACUGAGACACGGUCCAGACUCCUACGGGAGGCAGCAGUAGGGAAUAUUGGACAAUGGGCGCAAGCCUGAUCCAGCCAUGCCGCGUGAGUGAAGAAGGCCCUCGGGUUGUAAAGCUCUUUUGUCCGGAAAGAAAGCGCCGGGUUAAUACCCUAGUGUCCUGACGGUACCGGAAGAAUAAGCACCGGCUAACUUCGUG